rnacentral:piRNA from 1 species
AUGGAAGGCCAAUUCUCAGAACACAAUGA